AAAGCAAAGACGGCUGGGAAAUCCGGGAAUAAAUCAGCGGCAUCAAGUCUAAAAAGCAGAGGAGGAGGAGGAUUGGAUCUCCUAAGCAGAGCAGAGGAAUUGUAAGGGAUUGAACGAGGUAACCAGCGAGAAAAAGAUCGUGAAAGAGCUCAGUCUCGCGGCGGCGCCAAGAAGGGUGGCAAGAAUGAUGGCCUCACCCCCGAGCAACGCCGCGAAAGGGAUGCAAAGGCGCUACAAGAGAAGACGGCCAAGAAGGCCUCCGGUGCCGGCCAAACUAGUGGUGGAGGUACCACCACCAACAAAUAACGCCCUCUUAUAAUCCCUUAUUACUACUCUUUAUUAUAACAAUAAAUUCAUACUCUAUAUGUCAUGCUGUUUUUUGAAUCAAGGAUUCUCAGUUAAGUUUGUUCUCUCGUGUCCGUGCAUUUCGAAUAACGAUUCCUCGUGUGUACUGUUAUCUUUUAAUUGCUACUUCUACUGUAUUCACACUCUAUUAUAAAAGUGGGGUUUUGAAGAAUGGUUUAAUUGCUAUUUCCAUUA